rnacentral:rRNA from 1 species
AACGAACGCUGGCGGCAUGCCUAACACAUGCAAGUCGAACGAGACCUUCGGGACUAGUGGCGCACGGGUGCGUAACGCGUCGGAACCUUCCCUUAUGUUCGGAAUAACUAUAAGACAGGGGUGCUAAUACCGGAUAAUGUCUACGGACCAAAGAUUUAUUGACUUUGAAUGGGCAGGCGUUGGAUACGCUAGUUGGUAGGGUAAAAGCCUAUCAAGGCGUCGAUCCAUAGAUGGUCUGAGAGGAUGAUCAGCCACACUGGGACUGAGACGCGGCCCAGACUCCUACGGGAGGCGGCAGUGGCGAAUGGUGGAAAAUGGGCGAAAGCAUGAUCCAGCAAGGACGCGUGAGUGAUGAAGGCAGUAGAGAUGUAAAGCGCUUUUAACCGGGAUGAUAAUGACGGUACCGGGAGAAUAAGCUCCGGCUAACUCCGUG